AGAGCAGUGGGAAGGGGAAAGGUUUUCCUGGUGGCAUUUUUCGGCAGAGAGAAUAUGUUAUCUUGCCUGCUUCUUGGGAACCGUGGAUCCUUCAUCAGUGACCUGGAAUGGUUGCUAAGUGUGAAGCAGAGAGCAGUUCUGACAGCCUUCUUUAAGCACAGGAUAUCCAUUGCUCUCAUGCGAAAAAGAAGCCUCCCAGAAAAGACUGCAUUGGGCAUUGACAGCUCUUUCACACGUUGUACUGUUAUUUCUGAAACCCGAUCACGAGUUGUACUAUCUAGGUAAUACACGCCUUUUGGACAUUUCUUAGUAAAGAUGCCCAAAUGAGAGACCCUACUGAUGAAAGCACUUCCUUCAGGGACCUUCAAUAGCUCGAUAUAUAUUUAGGGAAAUACAAAAGGAGAGGAGCGUGUAUUUUUGGGAUUGGGAAAAUACACAUUUUCCAUUGGACUAAACUGUCAACUCAUCAAUAUUUUAGAAUGGGUCAUGACCUGCAUAAAAGAAAAAAAAAACAAACCUGUUUUGACUUUCUUGGCAGCCCCAAUCCUAAUUUGGUGGAAGUGGCUUUGUGCCUGGAUUUGAAAGCCACAGUCCCAGCCUUCUAUGCACUCAGCAAUGGCCGUAGAGCACACAUCUGGCCAAUGGUAUCUAAGAGGAAGUUACUUAAAGCUACUUAAAAUAGGACAGAAGCAGCUGAAGGGCACACGUUUUGUUCUCAUGCAUUUUCCUCUAGUAGCUGGAAUCAACUAGUAAUUUUGCAGUAGGAAAAAAUGAAAAGAUUCAUAGAUCCGGCAAUAAUGGUUUUAACAUGAGCCAUCCUUCCCUCAUCCUCCACAUUAACCCUCCAAUUUGCAGUUCCCUGAUUUGCGCAGCCAAAUGGAAUACCUAACGGAAAUAGAAUAUGGUAUCAGAACUGGCAGGGGGUGUAGCGAGGAAAGGAUGCUUCAAGUAAUAGAACCAAAAAUGUUUAAUUUGCUUAAUGGAAGGGGUGGGAAAGUGAGGGCAGUAUUGCAGGAGGUAAAGCUGGUUCAUCCAUAUGCAACAGGGCAAAACAGUUUUUCAGACUCUAGAAACACUGUCUACUGACUCCUAAGUAAUAGAGAAUGUUGGCAUGCGUUGGACCCUUCUUAUUGCUUUUAGCAAAGCCUUAAGGGAGCAAUGAACUGAUUCAGAGACACACAGUCUACAAACAUGUGGAAGAAAAUACAGCACUGAUAAGAGGAGUGCUUCUUCCAAGACCAUCAAUCUAAGUUGACUGAGAAUCUCAAAAAUUGGAGCCAUUCGAUAGUUAAGAUAUAUGUUUGCUACUGGAAAAGAAACUCAAAAUACAAUGUGAAAGAAAAACAGAAGCUCAGUUCUCUCUCCUGUAACAGUCUUGAGUAUAAGCAGGAAAGCUGUAAAGUGUGUGGCUCCAUGCUGCCUUUCUAUCUUACUGCUCCUGAAUCUCCUUGUUGCAGUAAUCCAAGAUUACUCUCCACUAUUCAGGCAUUUCAGGAGGCAGGAAGGGGAAAAGAGGGAAAGAGAGGGCAUUCUCUUCCUUCUAAAGACAUACUCUGGAAGUUGCACCUGUUAUUUCUGCAUAUAACUUAUCGGAAAGAAUUUAGUUAUAUGUCCACCCCCAAGCACAAGGACUUUAAUCUGGUCUACCAUGUGCUCAGCUAAAAGCCACGGGUUCCACGUUGCUGGAAAGGGGAAAGAACCGAUACUGCCUUUCUUGGGGUUGAACAGCUAACUUCUCCUCUCCCUCAAGCAGAAAGCAUUGUAAACUAAAGAGUGUACAUCUGUCUUCCUCUUCUUGCCUCCUUCUGAAAAUCCAGCUUUGAAAAGCAGCCUACACCAAUCUCACAUUUUUCAUAUUCCACAUUAGAAAAGUGAUGUAGCUUUAAUAAGAUAGCAAUACUUUAUAUUUUGUUCUUCCAUCAGGCCAAAGGGUUAUGAUGUUAGAAUGUUCUUUGGCAAUUCCAAAUAGGAAAAACAAAAUCUCAAAAAACUUUUGAAGAUAUCUAGUGUAGUGGAAAUGUCUCAAGAUUUAGUUCUAAUUAGCCUCUGAAAUUGUGUUCCUGCCAACUCUGUUGCAUUGACUAAGUUCAGAUCAGGCAUCCUGGGACAUUUCAUUCCGUUUUGAACGAGGCGCAUUGCUAAUUCUCUAAUCAAUGAACGGACACUCCAUUUGUCAAACAGCAUAAUUGCCAUUAAAUGAAUAUAAUUCAUAGCUAAUUGUUAAAAAGAAGUAAUUUGCUGUGACUUGAACAGAUUUUAAUUGUAUUCCUUGACUUAUGGGAACAUCUUAUUAAAUAGUGGAAAAAUCUUUUUAAAAAUCUGUAUUUUGGAGCAAAGGUGGUGAUAUCUUUUUAAGAUCACACAUGGGAUGAAUUAAUCGAUUCAAACAUUAUGUGAACAAAUAUGCUGCUACAAGAAUGUUCAUUGAAGCAUUAUUUAAAAUACCAAAAAAAUUUCAAGCAAUAUGCAUAUCCAUCUACAGAGGCAUAGUUACAGAAAAUACAGUUUAUCUAUGCUAAAAACCAAAAAAACUUAUUCAACGCUUAAAAUAAGGAGACAGAUCCAAGUGGAAAGAUAUCCAACACACAACAUUAAGAUUUAAAAAACUAUAAAGCGAUAUGUAUGGUUCAAGUACAUUAGCUGACAGAGCAAAUCAGAAAGCAGUUACAUACAUAUAACUGUAUAUGCAUGGAGGUUUCUGGAAGCAUAUGCAUGUAUUAAUAUUACAACUAAAUAGUGGACUAGUUGUCCUGGUAUGAGAAAUGGCAGAUUCUUAGUUUUUACUUUAUAAACCUUCUGUAUUUGUUGAACUUUUAACUUUAAAUUUGCAUUCGUUUUGCAUUUUAAAAAGUUAUUAAAACCUAUAAAAA
rnacentral:lncRNA from 1 species